GACGAACCGUGCGAACGUUGUUCGGAAUCACUGGCUUAAAGGGCGGGUAGGCGGCCACCGCAAGUCAGUUGUGAAUCUCUGGGCUUAACCAGAAAGGUCAACUGAUACUGCGGGCUAGAGUCCGGAAGAGGCGAGUGGAAUUCCCGGUGUAGCGGUGAAUGCGCAGAUAUCGGAGAACACCAAUGGCGAGCAGCUCGCUGGACGUACUGACGCUGAGACGCGAAGCGUGGGAGCAACAG
rnacentral:rRNA from 1 species